GCAGGUUAGCAAAUACCAUUCUUUACGAUGGUUAUAAAUAUUGUCACAAAUAAAUUUAGGAAACAAAAUUCCAGAGAAAGCUUGCUCUCAUGAAGAGUGAUAAUUGGACGGAAGCAAGAGUCAAAAUAGUGAUGAGCAGACAUAUAUACGGAGUUGGAGUAUUUGUGACGGUUUCAUGACCGUCCGGGAAACGGCGGCGAACGUCAGAUCCAAUAUGAUCGGAGUUUAACGGCGCCGUUGCCGUCUUAUCAAAGGCAAGUUGUCAUGUUGGCUAUUUGGAGUUUGACAACUCAGGAACAGUGAUGAAGAUUCCUGUGUUUCUUGGUUAAGUUGUCAUUCUCAUUCGUAUUAUGAAUCUGUUCAAAGGUUGCAUUUCAAUAAUGUAAACUGCGGGCUUUCAGCAAUUACUUAUGUUGUUAUAAACACCUAUCAAUAUAUAGUUUGAACUUUCCAAAACUUGGGGCAACCCAACCAAGUUUAAUUUGUCCAGUUUGGCUUGAUAAUCACAAAAUUUCAAGUUCGGCUCUCAAUGAGAACGAUAUGAUAUUCUUAGUUUGAA